AACGCUGGCGGCGUGCCUAACACAUGCAAGUCGAACGGAGUCAAGAAGCUUGCUUUUGACUUAGUGGCGGACGGGUGAGUAACGCGUGAGUAACCUGCCUCUGAGAGGGGAAUAACGUUCUGAAAAGAACGCUAAUACCGCAUAACGUAUCGAAGCCGCAUGACUUUGAUACCAAAGAUUUUAUCGCUCGGAGAUGGACUCGCGUCCGAUUAGUUAGUUGGUGAGGUAACGGCCCACCAAGACCGCGAUCGGUAGCCGGACUGAGAGGUUGAUCGGCCACAUUGGGACUGAGACACGGCCCAGACUCCUACGGGAGGCAGCAGUGGGGGAUAUUGCGCAAUGGGGGCAAACCCCUGACGCAGCAACGCCGCGUGAAGGAUGAAGGUUUUCGGAUUGUAAACUUCUUUUAUCAGGGACGAAGCUUGACGGUACCUGAUGAAUAAGCUCCGGCUAACUACGUGCCAGCCGCGGC
rnacentral:rRNA from 1 species